GAUGAACGCUGGCUACAGGCUUAACACAUGCCAGUCGAGGGGAAACGACGGGGAAGCUUGCUACCCCGGGCGUCGACCGGCGCACGGGUGAGUAACGCGUAUCCAACCUGCCUCUGACUGAGGGAUAACCCGUCGAAAGUCGGCCUAAUACCUCAUGGCAUCGUCUGCGGGCAUCCAACGACGAUUAAAGAUUUCAUCGGUCAGAGAUGGGGAUGCGUCUGAUUAGCUUGUUGGCGGGGUAACGGCCCACCAAGGCGACGAUCAGUAGGGGUUCUGAGAGGAAGGUCCCCCACAUUGGAACUGAGACACGGUCCAAACUCCUACGGGAGGCAGCAGUGAGGAAUAUUGGUCAAUGGGCGAGAGCCUGAACCAGCCAAGUAGCGUGCAGGAUGACGGCCCUAUGGGUUGUAAACUGCUUUUAGGCGGGGAUAAAGUGAGGGACGUGUCCUUCAUUGCAGGUACCGCAUGAAUAAGGACCGGCUAAUUCCGUG
rnacentral:rRNA from 1 species